rnacentral:rRNA from 1 species
UUGCAUAUCCAAUCCCUCUUUUUAUAAUGUAAUAGUUAUUACUUACUGUUUUUUUUUUAUUAUUAUUAUAAUAAUAAUCCAGGGGUAAAUAAUAUUAAAUAUUCAAAAGACUGGAUUGAGUAAUUUCUAUUUAAAUUUUUUAAUUUUAAACUUUAUUAGAAAUUCGUUUAC